UACGGAGGGUGCAAGCGUUAAUCGGAAUUACUGGGCGUAAAGGGCGCGUAGGCGGUACGUUAGGUCUGCCGCGAAAUCCCCGGGCUCAACCUGGGAAUGGCGGUGGAAACCGGCGCACUAGGGUAUGGGAGAGGGUGAUGGAAUUCCAGGUGUAGCGGUGAAAUGCGUAGAGAUCUGGAGGAACAUCAGUGGCGAAGGCGGUCACCUGGCCCAAUACUGACGAUGAGGCGCGAAAGCGUGGGGAGCAAACAGG
rnacentral:rRNA from 1 species